UCCCUGGUAGUAUAUCGGUUUAGUACACGCGCCUGUCAUGAUCAUACGCAAUUGUCGUUGUCCGACGCGCGAAAGCUGGGUUCGACUCCCAGCCAGGGAG